AGUGAACGCUGGCGGUAGGCCUAACACAUGCAAGUCGAACGGCAGCACAGUAAGAGCUUGCUCUUACGGGUGGCGAGUGGCGGACGGGUGAGGAAUACAUCGGAAUCUACUUUUUCUUGGGGGAUAACGUAGGGAAACUUACGCUAAUACCGCAUACGACCUACGGGUGAAAGCAGGGGAUCUUCGGACCUUUCGCGAUUGAAUGAGCCGAUGUCGGAUUAGCUAGUUGGCGGGGUAAAGGCCCACCAAGGCAACGAUCCGUAGCUGUUCUGAGAGGAUGAUCAGCCACACUGGAACUGAGACACGGUCCAGACUCCUACGGGAGGCAGCAGUGGGGAAUAUUGGACAAUGGGCGCAAGCCUGAUCCAGCCAUACCGCGUGGGUGAAGAAGGCCUUCGGGUUGUAAAGCCCUUUUGUUGGGAAAGAAAAGCAGCAGGUUAAUACCCCGCUGUUCUGACGGUACCCAAAGAAUAAGCACCGGCUAACUUCGUG
rnacentral:rRNA from 1 species